GAUGAACGCUGGCGGCGUGCCUAAUACAUGCAAGUCGAGCGAACAGACGAGGAGCUUGCUCCUCUGACGUUAGCGGCGGACGGGUGAGUAACACGUGGAUAACCUACCUAUAAGACUGGGAUAACUUCGGGAAACCGGAGCUAAUACCGGAUAAUAUAUUGAACCGCAUGGUUCAAUAGUGAAAGACGGUUUUGCUGUCACUUAUAGAUGGAUCCGCGCCGCAUUAGCUAGUUGGUAAGGUAACGGCUUACCAAGGCAACGAUGCGUAGCCGACCUGAGAGGGUGAUCGGCCACACUGGACCUGAGACACGGUCCAGACUCCUACGGGAGGCAGCAGUAGGGAAUCGUCCGCAAUGGGCGAAAGCCUGACGGAGCAACGCCGAGUGAGUGAUGAAGGUCUGCGGAUCGUAAAACUCUGUUAUUAGGGAAGAACAAAUGUGUAAGUAACUAUGCACGUCUUGACGGUACCUAAUCAGAAAGCCACGGCUAACUACGUG
rnacentral:rRNA from 1 species